AUGGACGCCGCGAGCCGCACCUGGCCGCCGCCCAACCCCUCGCCGGCGCCCUUCUCCUCCCGGCUGCGCGUGUCCUCCGACCCCCAACGCCGGCGCCGGCGGCGCCACUCCAAGAAGCCCAAGCCGGAGCCGCCGGCUCCCCCGCCCAAGAACGCCCCCGUCUGCUCCGGCGCGGACUUCGAGUCCCUCCCGCCGGAGCUCCUCCACCGGGCGCUGUCCGCGGUCGGCGCCGCCGACGUCUCGGCCGCCAGCCGUGCGUGCCGCUCGUGGCGGGACGCGCUGCAGCCGCUCCGCGAGGCGGCGGCGCUGCACGCGCACGGGCGCCGCCUCAAGCACGGCUCAGCCGUUCCAGCCGGACUCGACGGUGAGGGGCGCGAGGCGGCGAGGCAGAGCGCGCUGGGUCUUUUCAAGCGGGCGGCGAGGCUGGGGUCCGCGGCUGCGAUGGUGGACGCCGGGCUGAUGUGCUGGGAAGAGGGGCAACGGGAGGAGGCGGUGGGGUACUACCAGGCGGCGUCGGAGCUGGGACACCCUGUCGGCAUGUGCAAUCUCGGAGUGUCCUACCUCGAAGCUGAUCCACCCCAGGCCGAGGAAGCUGUUAGAUGGUUUUAUCCAGCUGCAUCCGCAGGCAAUGUUCGUGCCCAGUACAACCUAGCCCUCUGCUUGCAGAAUGGAAAAGGAAUCAAGCGUAAUCAACGGGAAGCUGCAAAGUGGUACUUACGAGCUGCAGAAGGAGGGAAUGUACGAGCCAUGUAUAAUGUUUCCUUGUGUUACAGCUUUGGUGAAGGGUUUACACAGGAUCCAGUGCGUGCAAAGAAGUGGCUGCAACUAGCUGCUGAUUGUGGUCACAGAAAGGCUCUUUAUGAGUCUGGUAUUAAACUCUGUGCGACAGGAGACAAGGUCAGGUCUCUCAUGUAUCUAGAGCUGGCAACACGCCAUGGAGAAAGUGCCGCCUCGCAUAUGAGAGAUGUAAUACUCGAAUCACUCUCGCCUGCGAUUGCCCAACGCGCUCUUUCAGAUGCUGAUAGAUGGCGACCAAAAUGUCUCUCUGCCAGAAGAUGA
rnacentral:rRNA from 1 species